AGGACGAACGCUGGCGGCGCGCCUAAUACAUGCAAGUCGAGCGAGAACCAGGGCUUCGGCCCUGGGGAGAGCGGCGAACGGGUGCGUAUCACGUGAGCAACCUGCCUCGGAGACCGGAAUAACUCGAGGAAACUCGGGCUAAUGCCGGAUGCCCUCGGUGGACCGCAGUGGUCCGGCGAGGAAAUGGAUUCCGCUCCGAGAUGGGCUCGCGGCCUAUCAGCUUGUGGUGGGUAACGGCCUACCGAAGGCGACGACGGUAGCUGGGUCUGAGAGGACGAUACAGCCACACGUGGGACCUGAGACACGGCCCAGACUCCGUACGGGAGCA
rnacentral:rRNA from 1 species